rnacentral:rRNA from 1 species
AACGAACGCUGGCGGCAUGCCUAAUACAUGCAAGUCGAACGAGAUCUUCGGAUCUAGUGGCGCACGGGUGCGUAACGCGUGGGAAUCUACCCUUGGGUUCGGAAUAACUUCGGGAAACUGAAGCUAAUACCGGAUGAUGUCGAAAGACCAAAGAUUUAUCGCCCAGGGAUGAGCCCGCGUAGGAUUAGCUAGUUGGUGGGGUAAAGGCUCACCAAGGCAACGAUCCUUAGCUGGUCUGAGAGGAUGAUCAGCCACACUGGGACUGAGACACGGCCCAGACUCCUACGGGAGGCAGCAGUAGGGAAUAUUGGACAAUGGGCGCAAGCCUGAUCCAGCAAUGCCGCGUGAGUGAUGAAGGCCUUAGGGUUGUAAAGCUCUUUUACCCGAGAUGAUAAUGACAGUAUCGGGAGAAUAAGCUCCGGC